rnacentral:tRNA from 1 species
GGGACUAUAGUUAAUAAUAACAUUUGAGUUGCAUUCAAAAAGUACUGCUCUACAAUAAGUAGUUAGUCUCA